GCCGCGCCGGAUGCCGCCACCGACCAUCGGGUGCCUGGGCUGUAUCUGGUAACGUACUUACGUGUAUGUCGCUACUACCAGCUCAGCUCGCAGAAGCAGUUCCGUGCACCCCCGGCCCUGGGAUGCCCUUUCCGGGUGGCGGUUGCGGACGGUGACGCGCGCGCCGGGCGGCUGCUGCGAUCGAAACUUCCGCCCGCGGCACGAAACCUCCCCGCGCAUUUCAGCGAAAAUCGGACGGACUUAUUACGGGCGAGUGGGGCGACACGACGACACGCGACGACUGGAAAGGGAAAUCCAGGCGUUUUUUCCAGCGGCCAAGCCAAGAUGUUCCCGCACGGUUUCGCCCAAAAUGGAACGAGGUUUCGACUCGACUACCUGUAACAAACCGACGAAAAUACGGCGCGCGCCGGCCCGGCCGCGAGGUUCCCGAAUUCCGAUUGGUUUCCGCCGUGGCGCGGCGGCCGCCACGCGGGGCGUGGCGGGGCAGAGGCGUCGGUGCGCGGUGAUGGGGCGGUGGCGAUCGACGCGGCCCGGUGUGGCCGCGUGGUGACGCCGUUCCGAGUCGGCGGCACGUGGAUCCUGGGCCCCGGGACUACUGUGUGCGUCGUCAGACUCGCAUACGGUUGGUGUGGCCCCCACGAGGGUCCGGCUCCCUUCACUCCUCGUCUCCGUGCCUUCUCUAGCCCUACCGUUGCCACUGGCUGCCAAGUUAGCCUGCACACUUUUUUAUUUUAAUGGUACCAAUAGGAGAGUGUGUAUUUUCAUUGUAUAUAGCGGGAAAAAAAUACAAUCCCUAUAGACAAAGAAAAUGCGAAAGCCAAAAUCUGUUUACUAUACAAGGUGCGGGAUAAGAUCGCGCAAUCGCUUAGCACCCGCUAACGCCCAAGUGCUAGCUUCUCCUUUUAUUUUUGCGA
rnacentral:sRNA from 1 species